CGCUUCCUCUUCAGGUGGCCCUCGUUCUCCGCAGACAAGCUGUAAACUUGGGAGCUCCCCUUCUCCUCCGCGCUCUGCUCCCUCUGCGAAUCCGCCUAAAACGCCAAAAGCUCUGAGCUCUCUGCCCCCUUCCUCUUCCUCACCGCGAGAUCCCAUCCAUGGCUGCGGCCUCGGCAUCCCGCCACCGGAUCUGAAACCCCGCAACCAUUGCUGGAUCUGUAACUGGCGCACCGACCGCCGCACGGGUCGCGGCGACCAACCCGGUUCGUUGCCUUGCAAGAUUUGCCUUGCCGCUGCGUGUACUUGGUGGCUGGUGGGUUACUUCUCCCCGGUCCGUCCUUAGCUCCUUGAAAUGGACGCCUGACGCGAGGGGGUCGGUGCGACGGGGUGUUUGCUGCCGCCAUGUGGAAGCAGUUCCUUGGCAAGCUCUCGGGGAAGUCGCCGAAAUCCGGCGGUGUCGGGGCCGGGGGCUGGGGCUCGCCGCCGGCAAAGCCCCCGACGUCCUACGGGGCGAACGGGGUCCAAUGGGACUCGAUGAGGGCGUCCCCUCCACUCGCGGGUGUCGCCGGAGCGGAGGGGGAGACCAGGGAGGACGUGUUCCUCCAGAAGCUGAACGUCUGCUGCGUGUUGUUCGACUUCUCCACCGACCGGGGCAGGGACUCUCCGGAGAGGGAGAGGAAGCGGCAUGUGCUGCUGUCACUCGUCGACUGUCUCGGCGCGGCCGAGGAGCCCCUCACGGAGGCGAUGGUCUCGGCCUGCGUGCGUAUGUUUGCCAUCAACCUAUUCAGGGUCUUCCCGCCCAAGGUCCGGCCGGGCGGCGUGGGAACAACGGAGGCUGACGAGGACGAUCCGUUCUUUGACCCCUCAUGGUACCACCUACAGGUCGUGUACGAGCUGCUCCUCCGGUUCGUCACGUCUCCGGUUGUUGAUGUGAAGGUGGCUCGGAAGUACAUGGACAAUUCGUUCAUCUCUAGGCUUCUUGAUUUGUUAGAUUCUGAUGAUCCUAGAGAAAGGGAUUGCUUGAAGACAGUCUUGCAUAGGAUAUAUGGAAAAUUCAUGGGCAAUCGGCCAUUCAUCCGCAAGGCUGUGAGCAAUAUCUUCUAUAGGUUUGUGUCCGAGACCGAUCGUCACAAUGGGAUUGCGGAGCUCCUGGAGGUGUUUGGGAGCGUGAUCAGUGGGUUUGCGAAGCCACUGAAGGAGGAGCAUAAGUUGUUUUUGUGGAAGGCGUUGAUUCCUCUUCAUAAACCAAAGACAGUGGGAAUGUAUCUGCCGCAGUUAACAUACUGCAUUACUCAGUUUAUUGACAAGGAACCGAAGCUCUCCGGGACUGUGAUCCGAGGCCUCUUGAAGUAUUGGCCAGUGACGAACAGUCAGAAGGAGAUGAUGUUCUUGGGGGAGUUGGAGGAGGUUCUGGAAUUGACAGAAAUGCCCGAGUUCCAGAAGUGCAUGGUUCCAUUGUUUCGAAGGGUUGCACACUGCCUGAACAGCUCUCAUUUUCAGGUUGCUGAAAGGGCCUUAUACCUCUGGAACAACGAACACCUGUUUGAUUUGAUCUCUCAAAACCACCAAGUUAUCUUGCCAAUUAUAUAUCCAGCUCUGGAAAGAAAUGCUCGUUUGCACUGGAACCAAUCGGUUCUGAACGUCACAAUGAAUGUCAGGAAAAUGUUCUUCGACAUGGAUCAGAAAUUGCUGUUGGCUUGUGAGAUAAAUUUGCAAGAGGAGGAAGAGAAGCAAGCAGCAUCCGAGGAGCGGAGAAGGCUUAUAUGGGAGCACCUCGAGAGGAAUGCUGUAUACCAUCCAGUAACUGGAGACAUCAACUUUGCUGUUCUUCCUACAUCUGCUCUGGUAGCUCCCACUAUGACAUGAUGUGAUAUGUGUUCAAGCGUACUUCAUUCCACUCCAUUUAUAGAUUGAUGGCUCUAUUCUCCAGAUUUGAUGGAUGAGCAUAUAAUGAGAUGUACUUUGUUGAGAAAAUCAAGUAUGGUCCCUGGUGCAACCAAUGAAUGCAAGAGGGACCUCAUUUCACCUAAAUAUUCAAUGUUAAAUCAAUUCCAUCCAGCUACAAGCUCAGUGCACAUUUUCAGUCAGAUGGAUACUCAUAAGAAAAGGAUCUGAUUCAUGACAUCACUAUGGAUUUGGUCCCAUGCUAUUCUGAUGACCUGACUAGUUAUCCACAAAAAAGAUACUGUUACGGAGUUUGGUAUGAUAAGCUUCAUUGUUAGUAGGGUACUUAAUACUAACUACAUUGACCUGAGUACACCAAGGAUCUGAAUAUACAUAAAGUGGUAAAACAAAGAGAUUUUCGAUGCCGCUGUUUUCCAUAGAUACUUAUGGAAUAUAAUUGUGUUAUCUCAAUUAUUUAUCGAACAAAAUCAUGCCAUCAUUAUUACACUGACAAAUAACACACCAACUGCCACACUUAUCUAUGCCCCGGUAAGUCCUUUUUGUUUCCAUAGACCACUGGUGCGUAAAAGUUGGACCUGACACAUGGCAAGCUUGAGUUGAAGCUCUAUAAAAGAAGGCCUCACACCCAAACAGAUAGCUACUGUCCUCUCCAUAUAACUUCCAGCUUUGUUCUGUUCGUCAUUUUCCAUAUCUUUGGUGUACUGAGAUACUUGCCCAGGGAGAUAGAUCAACAUGUACAACCCUCCGAGUGCGCAGGACAUGUCCUACUACGAUCAUGUUCAGAAGCGCCACGAGGAUAAAGGCUGCUUAUAUGCAUGCCUGUUUACAUUGUGUUGCUGCUUCUGCUGCUACGAGACCUGCGAGUGCUGCGUGGAGACCCUCUGUUGCUGCGGCUAAUUUAGCUCGAUGCAAAACAUCGGCUGCGUCUGGCGGUCUGGGAAGUUCAUCGCAGCCCUGCAGGAUACUUUUCCAUGCCAGCGAGAAAGCAUUGCUCCUUGUUUGAAUAAGAACUGUCUUUAAGUCUCUGUUGUCAUGUAUUUGUUGGUGUGUUUGCCUUGGACACUGAAAUGCACUGUAUAUGUACAUAACAUAAGCACUCGGAUCUUUUACGACGGUAAAAUACAUCUUUUAUUACUUCAUCCGUUA